ACGUAGGCAGCGAGCGUUGUUCGGAGUUACUGGGCGUAAAGAGUGUGUAGGCGGUUUGCCAAGUUCGGUGUGAAAUCUCCCGGCUUAACUGGGAGGGUGCGCCGAAUACUGGCAGGCUAGAGUGCGGGAGAGGAAAGCGGAAUUCCUGGUGUAGCGGUGAAAUGCGUAGAUAUCAGGAGGAACACCUGCGGUGUAGACGGCUUUCUGGACCGCCACUGACGCUGAGACACGAAAGCGUGGGUAGCAAACAGGAUUAGAUACCCUGGUAGUCCACGCCCUAAACGAUGCACACUUGGUGUGGGCAGUUCAUUCUGUCCGUGCCGUAGUUAACGCGUUAAGUGUGCCGCCUGGGGAGUACGGUCGCAAGGCUG
rnacentral:rRNA from 1 species